rnacentral:rRNA from 1 species
CCUACGGGAGGCAGCAGUGAGGAAUAUUGGUCAAUGGACGAGAGUCUGAACCAGCCAAGUAGCGUGAAGGAUGACUGCCCUAUGGGUUGUAAACUUCUUUUAUAUGGGAAUAAAAUGUUCCACGUGUGGGAUUUUGUAUGUACCCUAUGAAUAAGGAUCGGCUAACUCCGUGCCAGCAGCCGCGGUAAUACGGAGGAUCCGAGCGUUAUCCGGAUUUAUUGGGUUUAAAGGGAGCGUAGGUGGAUUGUUAAGUCAGGUGUGAAAGUUUGCGGCUCAACCGUAAAAUUGCAGUUGAAACUGGCAGUCUUGAGUAUAGUAGAGGUGGGCGGAAUUCGUGGUGUAGCGGUGAAAUGCUUAGAUAUCACGAAGAACUCCGAUUGCGAAGGCAGUUCACUGGACUGCAACUGACACUGAGGCUCGAAAGUGUGGGUAUCAAACAGGAUUAGAUACCCGUGUAGUC